AAAAUGAUAAAAUUGAUUUCGACUCAAUUAUAGAUAAUAUUAAUUAUCCAUUUUAA
rnacentral:tRNA from 1 species